rnacentral:rRNA from 1 species
GAUGAACGCUGGCGGCGUGCCUAAUACAUGCAAGUCGAGCGAACAGACGAGGAGCUUGCUCCUCUGACGUUAGCGGCGGACGGGUGAGUAACACGUGGAUAACCUACCUAUAAGACUGGGAUAACUUCGGGAAACCGGAGCUAAUACCGGAUAAUAUAUUGAACCGCAUGGUUCAAUAGUGAAAGACGGUUUUGCUGUCACUUAUAGAUUGAUCCGCGCCGCAUUAGCUAGUUGGUAAGGUAACGGCUUACCAAGGCAACGAUGCGUAGCCGAACUGAGAGGGUGAUCGGCCACACUGGAACUGAGACACGGUCCAGACUCCUACGGGAGGCAGCAGCAGGGAAUCUUCCGCAAUGGGCGAAAGCCUGACGGAGCAACGCCGCGUGAGUGAUGAAGGUCUUCGGAUCGUAAAACUCUGUUAUUAGGGAAGAACAAAUGUGUAAGUAACUAUGCACGUCUUGACGGUACCUAAUCAGAAAGCCACGGCUAACUACGUG